AGUUGAGUAGUUUAACAAGAACAUUCAGUUGUCAAUUGAGAGGUGUUGAAUAACCUUAACUG
rnacentral:tRNA from 1 species